CAGAAGACCUGGGUUUGAUCCCUGGGUUGGGAAGACCCGCUGGAGAAGGGAAUGGCUAUCCACUCCAGUAUUCUCUCCUGGAGAAGCACCAGAGACGCAGACCCCACUCUGCUUAUAUUCCAAGGACCCACCCUCUGGAUAAUUUUUCUCUUAAAACGAUGUUGUGAAUUUCCUGGCAGUCCAUUGGUUAGUACUCCACGCUCUCCCUUACAAAGACUCCAGUUGAUCCCUGGUGGGGGAAGUAAGAUUCCCAAUGCCGCUGUGGCCUAAAAUAAAUAAAUAAAUAACACUCCAUGUUUAGGAAGCUUUUGUAGGUCACACUAGUGCUGUGUAUUAAGUGGCCCUUCAUGGCCCCUAUUACCACACUCAGUUGACACAACUGCAGCCCAAAAGGGAGAAAGAGAUUUUUUUGUGCACCUCCCCAUGUCAGGGGAGUGACCUCUUUCAAUCUUCCCAACCACUGUGGGGAGUGGGUGGAGCUUUCCAUUUCACAGAGGAGGUAACUGAGGCUCAGAAGCUAAGCUACUUGGCCUCAGGAGGUUAAAACUAAGAUUUGAACCCUCGUAUAUCUCACUCCACAACCUUUGCCACCACCCUCCCCCCGCAUAUACCCAAAGAAAACAAACAAAAAAUUUGGCUUUUUACUUGAUCUCAGAGUCUUCAUUACAGACAAGGGUGUGGUUUUUACUCUUUUCUGUUAAGUGUUUGGAAAAUUGAAAGCAACGCAGCACCUCGGGUAGCUGCCUGACCUCGUCCCGGUGGAAGGGAUCCUCACACCCCUAAAGCGUCCAUCCUCUCCCCAGCCACAGCAGUCCAUAGACGCCCCCGUCCGUCUCCUCCAGCCCCUCCCUCCGGCCGCCCACCCCCUCGCUCAGCCCCCCUUCCACCCCUCCCAGGCCUCCAGACCCGCUGUCCCUGCUCAGACCCCAGGUCCCUGGCGGGAGUUUCCUGUCCCCAGCGCCCGUACUUUCCAUGACACAAGAGGAAGUCGGCUGAGCAGGGGCUGGGUUUUCCAGGCCGCCCGGCCCUGGGUGGAGGCCGAAGGUGGGGGUGAGGAGGGGGUUAUCACCCCCCAACCCCCACCCCAGGGCCGUGUCAGUACCUCGUCGGCCUCCGCGGGAGAAGCGCCUGCCUGCGCUGCCCGGGCCCACACCAGGGAUUUGAAUGAUGCCAAGGCCCCAGUCUCCCGUUCUAGGACCCCUGCCCCCAGGCUGCACCGACGUGGGAGCUGGAGAUGGGAGAUUUGUCUGAUCUGGAACCUGGACUGUUUGACUCUUUCUCUCUAGUGGGAAGGUGUCGUCGGGUGCCAGGGCUUUGUGGGAGGAGCAGAGUGCAGAGAACCCAAGUUUGCCAUGGAUAGGCGUGUGCUGGCUCUGUAAAGUGGCUCAGUGUGUGUACUUUCCUGGAGUCCUGGGUGGCCAUGCAACCUGCAGGGACAGGUCGGGGCACCCUCCCUCCCACCUUUCCCAGCCACAUCUGGGACCUGGGUUUUGCCAUCUGAUGACACUGGUCUCAUAUCCCUGUGGUGAAACCUUGAGUCAAGGAUUCAAGUCAGUUACCUAAACUCUUCAUCUGUAAAAUGGGACGGUUUGAAGAUAAAGCGUGUAAUGUAUAUAAAGAGCAUAGCACAGUCCUGGCUCCUGGUAAGGGCUCCAGAAACCAGAGUUGAUAUCAUGGUCAUUUCUGGGUGGAGAGUCUAGGGUUUAGGGGGCCCUGAUGCCAACUUUCCAUUUUGACUUGAUGUGUGACCUUGGGCAAGUAAUUUCCCCUUUCUGAGACUGGGAGUAGGGAUAAGCCCUGCAUUACAGGGCUU
rnacentral:lncRNA from 1 species